ensembl:lncRNA
CUGCACCCACAGCAUAUGGAGGUUCCCAGGCUAAUCAGAGCUGUAGCCGCUGGCCUACGCCACAGCCACAGCUCUGCCAGAUCUGAGCCGCUUCUUUGACAUACGCCACAGCUCGUGGCAACGCCAGAUCCUUAACCCACUGAGUAAGGCCAGGAAUCGAACCUGCAACCCUAUGGUUCCUAGUCGGAUUUGUUUUCGCUGCGCCACAACAGGAACUCCUUGUUUUAUUUUUCUUAAGGGCCUCACUGGCAGCAUAUGGAGGUUCGAAGGCUAGGGGUUGAAUCCGAGCUGUAGCCACUGGUCUCCGCCACAGCCAUAGCAACUCAGAGUCUGAGCUGCAUCUGCAACCUAUACUACAGCUCACGGCAAUGCCGGAUCCUUAACCCACUGUGCAGCAAGGCCACCGAUCCAACUUGUGUCCUCAUGGAUACUCAUCAGAUUCAUUUCCACUUAGUCACAAUGGGAACUCCUGGAUAUUCUCUUGAAUCACCCAAAGAAAUGGUCAGAGUAUGUAAAAACCAAUGUUGGACCAAUAGGUACUAGCCUAAAAGAUGAAGGCAGACAUUUCUACUUCAGAUGUCCCAUAAACCUGUUCAGUGCCUGAAUACCUCACUUAUUUUUUUGCACAAAAUAGCUGGUCAAAAUCAUUCAACUGUGCACUUUGGUUACUCUACAAAAUUGUGGUUCAUAAAUACAUAUGACUUCUCAAGGAUUCUUAGCACUGCAUCUAUUUUUAGUCAUUCACAAUCAUUCACAUUACUCAGAGAAAGUAUUCAAAAUUUUCCACAUCCCCUUCAAGCUUUUUAACACUACUCCUUCAGCAUAAAAACUGCCUUUCUAUUUUACAUGAGAAAUGGAUGUCAUCGGGUAUGUCCAUCACCAGCUGCUUCCACCUAUCCUACCUACAAACUUUUAUAUACCCAUCAUUAUUUUCCUCUUACCUCAAAAGAAACAAAUCUAGCUGUGUCUAAAGUAUAAUACCUCUACUCUGAAGACUAUGUUCACUACCCUUUAUUGACCUUGGGAAUUUUCUCCAGCCAUAAGUUUCUUUUGUUGUAUAUUGACAGUCUUUUCCUCCACUGCUAGUUUCUUCCCCUCCGCUUAUAAACAUGCAUAAGUAUUUUGUACAUAAGUACUAAAGUAUAAUAAAAUAUAAGUAUAAAGCUUUACCUUUGAAUUCUUCUUUACCUAUUCUUUCUUUCAAUUCUACGAUAACCAAAAAAAAAAAAAAAAUAGUCUAAACUCAUCAUACUCCUACAUAACCUCCCAUUUGUCAGUCUACGAUGCUUGAACUUUUACUAUUUCCUCAUUAUUCUGAUAAAAUUGCAAUAAUUAAACCUUGCAAUAAUUCUCUGAUUGCUAAAUCAAAAGACAUUUUUAUAUUCUCUUCUCACUUGACUAUAGCUUUCAGUGGUGGUUAUUACCUUUUUAAAAAAUCUGUCUCAGAGUUCCCAUCGUGGAUCAGAGGAAACAAAUCUGACAAAUCAAGCAAAUCUGAUCCAUGAGGACACAGGUUUGAUCCCUGGCCUUGCUCAGUGGGUUAAUCAUCUGGUGUUGCCAUGAUCUGUGGUGUAGGUCACAGACACUGCUCAGAGCCUGCAUUGCUGUGGCUGUGGUGUAGGCCAAAGACUGCAACUCUGAUUUUACCCCUAGUCUGGUAAUCUCUCUAUGCCAUGAGUGCAGCCCUAAAAAGACAAAAAAAAAAAAAAAAAAAAAAAAUCUAUCUCAACUCUUGGGGUUCCAAAAUAUCAGCAUCCCAUCCUCACCUGGUUCUCCCCUAGUUUCUUUGCAAUCUCAUUCAUGAGUCUUUUUUUUAGCCUUACUCUGCUCUAUUUUCUCAUCAGUCAUUUUUUCCUUCACCAUCUAUUCUCUUCUUUGGGAAGUUCACAUAUUCUAUUGGCAUUGAUUGUCCAGAUUUGAACCAAUUACCAGCAUUCUCCUUUACCAAACUGCAUUUUCCAGUUUCAUCUUUAUUUGUUCAGUAAUAAAAGGGGCAACCUAAGGGCCAAGAUAGAAUACUGAGAUAUACAGUCAAUGCAGUUCUAUCUGAAAGAGGAGGGAAAGGGGUAGGGUACUACCCUUAAAAGAAUAACAUAGCCUUUGAGGAUAUGCCAAAAACUGGUUAGAACCAACUGGGGCCAAGAUGCUCAGCAGGAUGGGGCUGAAGAACAGGUGCUGUGGAACUUAAGGAAAAAAAGUUAACAUAAAACAAGACACAGAGACAUUUAUCUUAAGUAAAGGUGGGAACCAGAGGACUCAAGGUCUCAGGGA